AGCAAACUUCCAAUCAUCUUAAAAAAUUUAAAGAAAAUUUUCAUUACACUAAGUAUUCUAUAAAAAAUUACCAAUAUUAAUAAACCGCAAGGGUCUAACCUUCAGCCCUUAAAAGAAGUGAUAAUCUCACCUCCCUUUUGCAUCAUGGAGAAGCAACAAAAUCUAGUAACACUACACUCCCGAAUGAUUAUGAGCUACUAACUUUUAAAAAUUAAUGUUUCACAAUUAAUAAAGUAAUUAUUAGUAGGAGUAACAAGCCUUUCAUAUAGUCAUAUAGCUGGUUUUUCUUUAAAAGCAUCACAGUGCUAGCCCAUAGCCUAAAUACAAUCUUCCUUGCUAUGAGGCUUACUCUACUGAGGAUUAGCUCAGUAAAGCUUCAGUAAUAUGUUAUUUUAUCAAUCUCACCAGUAGGCCUAAAAGCAGCCAUCUAAUAACGUUUUAGUUCAAAACAAUAAGUUACUAAAUAUAAAUCUACCAACAUUCUAAAAUUAAAGAAAUUUAACAAUUAACUUACUUGUUAUUAAACAGGCAUUCUAUUAGUAUUUACGUAUUUAAUUGUUCAACACCAAUAAAAAAUAUUGAAACAAAACACUCAUAUAUAUUAAAUUAUAUAAAAUGAACUCGGCAAAACCGUUCCCUGCCUGUUUACCAAAAACAUCGUCUUUUGAGUCCCUUGAUAAAAGAUAAUGCCUGCCCAGUGAAUAUUUAAACGGCCGCGUUAGCAUGAGCGUGCUAAGGUAGCGUAAUAAUUAGCCUUUUAAUUGGAGGCCAGUGAAUGGCAAGACUAGGAACACCUUUAUUUUAUAUAUCAAAAAAAUUUUUCAUCUAAGUGAAAAGACUUAGAUAGCAAAGGAAGACGAAAAGACCCCGCGGAGCUUUACCUCUUCUUAUACUUCCGUGUACCUACUUAAAUGUAUUAAAGGUUUGAUUGGGGCAAUCUUGGAACUAACAAAGCUUCCAACUGUUAAAAAAUCCUAUCUAAAACUUAGUAAGGACCAAAAAGAAGCUACCCCGGGGAUAACAGCGUAAUCUAACUUAAGAGUACAUAUCGAAAGUUGGGUUUGCGACCUCGAUGUUGGCUUAAGGAUAUCCACAUUAGUGCAACCGCUAUGAUAGGACAGUCUGUUCGACUAUUAUACCCUUACACGAGCUGAGUUAAGACCGGCGCAAGCUAGGUUGGUUUCUAUCUCCUUUAAGCAAACUGUCUUCUUAAUUGUACGAAAGGACCCUAAGAGAUGCAACUUAAAAGCAUUUAUAUAAAUAGUAAGUUAUAUUUA
rnacentral:rRNA from 1 species